AGGCAAAUGACUGAUGGACCAAGACAAUGUAAUAUUUCCUCAGUACAAAGCCAAGUGUGACCAGCUGCUUCUACCAACCAGCAGACAAUUACAUGAAGGCGCAAGACAAUGUAACAUUCUCUUGGUACAAAACCAAGUGUGAUCAGUUCCUUCUAACAUACAGCAGCACUGUGGAAUAUAACGUG